rnacentral:rRNA from 1 species
GAUUAACGCUGGCGGCAUGCCUAAUACAUGCAAAUCGAACAAAGCCUUUUGGCUUAGUGGUGAACGGGUGAGUAACACGUAUCCAAUCUACCCUUAAGUUUGGGAUAACUAGUCGAAAGAUUAGCUAAUACCGGAUAAUAACAUUCAUUUGCAUGAGUGAAUGUGGAAAGUUGCGUUUGCAACGCUUUUGGAUGAGGGUGCGACGUAUCAGAUAGUUGGUGAGGUAACGGCUCACCAAGUCAACGAUACGUAGCCGACCUGAGAGGGUGAUCGGCCACACUGGAACUGAGACACGGUCCAG